GAUUGUAAGGAAUCGUACCCCAAACCGACACAGGUGGUCGGGUAGAGAAUACCAAGGCGCUUGAGAGAACUCGGGUGAAGGAACUAGGCAAAAUGGUACCGUAACUUCGGGAGAAGGUACGCUCUCGACGGUGAAGUCCCUCGCGGAUGGAGCUAUUGAGAGUCGCAGAUACCAGGUGGCUGCAACUGUUUAUUAAAAACACAGCACUGUGCAAAAUCGUAAGAUGACGUAUACGGUGUGACGCCUGCCCGGUGCCGGAAGGUUAAUUGAUGGGGUUAGACU
rnacentral:rRNA from 1 species